rnacentral:sRNA from 1 species
UCUAGGAGAUCAAGAAAUUCGAGUUUUUGCUGACUUCCUGCACGCUCACUUACUGGGUAGGAAAAUUAGAACCCGCUUUUUCAGGAAUGGAGUUGAACAGGUGCCCAUCUUGGAGGACAACAACUAUGACUUCAACUACCAAGAAAUGAGAAAGUUACCAGAAGAAAGAGUUAUCAAGAAGGGUGACAGUUUCCUUCUGGAAUGUGUCUAUGACUCAACAGGAAAAACUUCUCCCACAUUUGGUGGUCUGAAAACAACUUACGAGAUGUGCUUGGCAUUCCUGUUAUACUAUCCCAGAAUAGACAUGACUAGGUGUCUAUCUAGGUAAGUGAGGCUUUGAACAA